GCCAAAGUAGCUCAGUUGGGAGUAGCGUUAGACUGAAGUUCUAAAGGUUCCUGGUUCAAUCCCAGGCUUUUUGGAGGGCC